rnacentral:lncRNA from 1 species
UUUGGCAGUUGUGGAGUGAAGACAGAGCCUUAGAAAUUGUGGAUUCGUCAUUGGAGUCAUACGCGCCCGACGAAGCCAUGAGAUGCAUUCAGGUCGGGCUCUUGUGUGUCGAAGAAGAGUCGAAGAACAGACCAUCCAUGUCAGCUGUUGUUUUUAUGUUGAGCGGCGAAGCAUCUGCUCCAUCUCCUCAGCAGCCUGCAUUUGCCUUGAGAAAAAAUUCAUGCGGCGAUGCUGUUGUUCCGUCAGUUUCCGAAGGAUCGUGUUCUAUCAACGAUGUGACAAUAACUAAAUUCGAAGGUCGAUAACUAAAUUCUGAUGUCAUCUGUGAUAAAACAUGGUCUUUCGGGAACUGAAUCAUAUACGUUGAAAUGAGACUUCAGAUAUAUAGGCUAUUUCAUACAUUUUCAAAUACCUCUUGGAUGUAUCUAAUAAUACAGAACUCUUUCCAACAGUUAUGUCUCCUAAUCAAAACGUUUUGAAUAUUAAUUAAAAACUUAAUCCAAAACUAAAAUCAGUUAAUAUGCUAAUUAAAAUUACACCUAUUGGAGACCUUGUGUUCUUGUGUUCCCUGAUGUGGGAUAAUUGAGGCAUAAAACUCCAACAGAUUCCAACAAGAUCAUUUUCGGAUUCUUUUAGUGAGGAUCCUGAUGAUUUGUGAAUUGUGUCCAUUUAUCGUACAUGCAGUUAGUUUUUGUCAAAUAUUGUUUGUGUUUAAUUUUAAAUAAAAAUAUUUAAAAUAAUUUCUAAUCGUACGAUGUACGAUAAACGGACAAAAUUGACGAAUCCUCGAGAUCCUCACAAAAAGUAUCCGGCGAGGAUCCGGAUUCCAACAGAUUAUUCUUUGACGAAACUGAUUUGACUGCCAACAUCCAAAGUCUCCUUGGUUUGAGUCGUGCUUGCUAGGUGCCGGGUAAACCCUUCAAACAAGCAGCAAUAAUUCCAACAGAUAAACAUAAACAUCAGCGACAAUUCUUCUGUCUUAAGAAAGAGACGGAUCUAAAUCGCACUUCUAACAACACCGAUAUUAUUUUUAAUUUAGUUAGAGCAUUCUCAAUUGGGGCUUUAUCUUCCAUGAAGCUACUACAUUUGGAGUCCUAGUAAGAAAUUUUAUCCCCAAUAAGCCGAAAAUGAGGUUAGAUCCACUAUUUGGGUUAGUAACUUCCUUUCCUAGGUAGCAAAAAAUUAAGCUACAUCUAACUUUAAAAAGCAGUGAAUCCCACGAAAAAGGACGAUACUUGGACACUGGCUAGUCAGUGUCCAAUUUUAUUGACCCCAAAUAAAAAAAAUGACACUUGUCCUUUUUAAUUCUAUCUCAGAUUGUUGCCAUCUUCAUAACCAAACAUCUCCUAUUUCCCCAUAGCUUCUGCAAUGGAGAUUUGGGCAAAUCCUCAACUCCUCCAACCUUUGCCUCCGUCGACCGACCCGUUCCGUCGACCCCAUCCCGUCUCCACCUCAUUAUGAACCAUAUAUGUAUUUGCUACAAUAGAUUGACUAAAGAAUUUUAGUUUUAAUUUAUUUUUUAUAAAGAUGAUUUUACAGUGUGAUUCAUAGUAUGAACGAUUCUGAUUAUAAGCACAAAUCUUCGUGAUUAAAACAUUAAUAAUUUUGAAUAGGAGUUCCUACUUAUCUUUAAGUAGCUAAAUAUUAUUCAUCACCCUCAGAUGUCGAUUAGCAUAUACCUAUCUUAAUAUAUAAGGAUAUAAGAAUCGGGACGUGUCACAUAAUCCUAGACAAUUCAACAAGACUUGAGUGGAUCCCAGAAUGCUGACUAGAAAUGUGGUUUUCGUCUUCCAAAUACCGAUUGACGAAAAGUAGCACAUAUUGGGUAAAAUUCAAAGAAGCAGUUGAGCUGUCAACACUUUCAUUAAUGUACACAGAAAAACAAGUGCGGUCAAGUUCGUUUUGAGAUAAGGGAGGGUAGGAUUCUUUGGUAGUCCGAUGGCUUGGGCCUCUGAUCGUCUAAUUCUCUAUUGCCCUCGCUGUUGCUGUGAUUGUGCCAAGGGUUUGAUGCAUCUGCCAAGAAAAUGUUACUGAAAGCUUUGCUUGUUGUGUCCCUCCUCUUCCCAUUUUGCACAUCCAUUGACACCAUAGAAAUGGACCAACAUGUAAAGGAUGGUGAUCUUCUGGUGUCCAAAGGAAACAUCUUCGCAUUAGGGUUCUUCAGCCCCAGAAACUCCAGCUCCAGGUACGUCGGAAUUUGGUAUGUUCAAAACGAUCAAAAAGGUCAAAAGGUAGUGGUUUGGGUAGCAAACAGAAACGACCCCAUCAAUCAUACCUCCGGUGUCCUUACUAUAGACGGGUAUGGGAGACUGCUUUUUUAUUCUAACAAUAUGCAGAACAUUCCUGUGUGGUCUACAAAUGUGACGGUUCAAACUACGAGCACUAGUUGCAGGGCUCAGCUUUUAGAUUCUGGAAAUUUAGUUCUUUUCCGGGAUAAUAAAAGCAAAAAUUUUAUGUGGCAGAGUUUUGAUUAUCCUACAGAUACUCUCCUUCCGGGUAUGAAACUAGGCGUGAAUUGGAAAUUGGGGAUAGAAUGGGUCUUAACAUCUUGGAAGUCACAAGAUGACCCUGGAACUGGGGAAUACACCACUAGGCUCUAUUCCAAUCAGACAGCCACCCCCGAAUUUUUUACUUUUUAUAAAGGUUUGACUCCGCAUUGGCGAUCUGAUCCAGCGAACACGCGUACUAUUGUCAAUAAUCAGGGCGAAACGUAUUCCUUUGUUAAAAACGAUAGCACUCCAACAAGGGCGGUGUUGAAGGAUUCUGGGUUGCUGCAAAUCCUCAGGUGGAACAAGGCAGAUAGAGAAUGGAAGGAACUAUGGUCUGCGCCAAAAUAUCAGUGUGACCAGUAUGAAGAGUGCGGUGCCAACAGCAAAUGUAGUCCUGAUAAUAUCAAUUCGUUUGAGUGUGAGUGUCUGCCAGGGUAUGAACCGAAGUCUGUCAAUGAUUGGAAGAUGAGAGACGGUUCGGACGGGUGUGUGAGUAAACGAGUUGCAGUAUCAAAGUGUAGGAACGGAGAAGGUUUCAUGAAAGUGGCACGAGUUAAAGAUCCAGACACAACGAAAGCAGCACGGCUGGAAAAAGGUAUUAGUGUCAAAGAGUGUAAGCAGGUGUGCUUAAGCGAUUGUUCUUGCACUGCAUAUAUGAUCAUAGAAUCUGAAGGGCGCAGUGAUUGCUUGACAUGGUAUGGUAAGUUGCGGGACAUUUUAGUGUACACACAGGCAGGGCGAGAUCUGCAUGUACGAGUGGACAAAAUCGAAUUAGGUACCACUUCUUGCCAUGGAAAAGUUGCAAUAUAAAUUUUUGGAAUUUGCGGAACUUACUGUACUACUGGUUUUGUUAGUUUUUAAUCCUUUAUCCCACUCUUAUGUGUAGCUGAAAAUUUCAGAAAUUCGAAAGGUUUUCUUAAAAGGAGGGGCAUGCUGGCUAUUCUGAUGUUGUCUGUUCUUCUAGCAUUGGUACUGAUCGUUGCGUUGGCCUGUUGGAGGAUUAGGAAAAAGAGGAAGACAAAAGGUAAGAAGUAGUCAGCGAUUUUGAAUUCUCGAACAGUUUCAUCAAAUAAAAGCACUCCACUUGUAAUGCUUGUGCAGUUUGUAAAUCAUAUAAAAGCACUGCAAUUAGAUAGAAUCCAUAUGCGCGAGCUCGAUGUAAAACUUAUAUUUCUAUAUCGUUUGUCAAUGAAAAUAGAACAGUGAGAAGAAAAUGCAGACAAUGAUUUCUUUUAUUGUUAGCAGUUGAGAUUGAAGAAACUAGGAGACAUCCCGAAUUGCAGUUUUUCCAUCUGAGAACGAUAAUUGCAGCUACGAACAACUUCUCUCCCGUCCAAAAACUUGGCCAAGGUGGUUUUGGCACUGUUUAUAAGGUUAGUCCCACUUUCGAAAAGUUACAAAUUUCAUUAUUAAAGAAUAAUCACAACAUAAUGGCUUGAUAAAAUAAGUGAUGAUUAUGUGGAAGCUUAAUGAUAAAAUUGAGUAAAAACUUCAGGGUGUGUUACGAAAUAAUCAGAAUAUUGCUGUAAAAAGAUUAUCCAGAGCUUCAGGACAAGGAGUUGAAGAAUUCAAAAAUGAAGUUGCGCUGAUAGCGAGACUUCAACACAGGAAUCUCGUGAAACUUUUAGGCUGUUGCAUAAAGGGAGAAGAAAGGAUGUUAGUCCUGGAAUACUUGCCGAACAAAAGCUUGGACUACUUUCUUUUCGGUAUGUCUAUAGAGGAAAGAUUCAUUUGUUCACGCCAUUUCUCAAACUAUGAAGCAUAUCUUAGUCGAAUAUGUCACAUUUAUCUGCACAAUUAAAGCCAAAUAUCUUGAUGCAGAUCACACAAAAAAGUCCUUGCUGGAUUGGCAAAAGCGAUUCGAAAUCAUCAAUGGGGUUGCUCGUGGGGUUUUGUAUCUUCACCAAGACUCAAGACUUAGGAUUAUUCACAGGGAUCUAAAAACCAGCAAUGUCCUUCUAGACGCUGAGAUGAACCCAAAAAUAUCAGAUUUUGGCAUGGCAAGAAUCUUCCAUGGGGACCAACUCCAAGAUACGACCAACAGAGUUGUCGGAACAUAGUAAGAAUCGUUAUAAACUCACCUUCCAUUAGCUCUUUCAUCUCUUACUAUUCUUUGGAUGUAACGUUUUAUUUUCUUUAUAUGUAUAAUACAGUGGCUAUAUGUCACCGGAGUAUGCAGUGUUCGGGAGAUUUUCAACCAAAUCGGACGUUUUUAGUUUUGGGGUCAUAUUAUUGGAGAUUGUAAGUGGCAAGAAAAACAACGGUUUCUAUCAAGCGGAUCAUUUCGUAAACUUAAUAGGACAUGUGAGUAACACAAAUUGUGCAAACAACCAACCCUUUUUAUUUACUCAUCUCAUACAUGUUUAAAAUGAACUGUCAACUACAGGUUUGGCAGUUGUGGAGUGAAGACAGAGCCUUAGAAAUUGUGGAUUCAUCAUUGGAGUCAUACGCGCCCGACGAAGCCAUGAGAUGCAUACAAGUCGGGCUCUUGUGUGUCGAAGAAGAGUCGAAGAACAGACCAUCCAUGUCAGCUGUUGUUUUUAUGUUGAGCGGCGAAGCAUCUGCUCCAUCUCCUCAGCAGCCUGCAUUUUCCUUGAGAAAAAAUUCAUGCGGCGAUGCUGUUGUUCCGUCAGUUUCUGAAGGAUCGUGUUCUAUCAACGACGUGACAAUAACUAAAUUCGAAGGUCGAUAACUAAAUUAUGAUGUCAUCUGUGAUAAAGCAUGGUCUUUCGGAAACUGAAUCAUAUAUAUUGAAAUGAGACUUCAGUUAUAUAGGCUAUUUCAUACACUUUCAAAUACCUCUUGGAUGUAUCUAAUAAUAUAGAACUCUUUCCAACAGUUAUGUCGCCUAAUCAAAACGUUUUUAAUAUUAAUUAAAAACUUAAUCCAAAACUAAAAUCAGUUAAUAUACUUAUUAAAAUUACACCUAUUGGAGACCUUGUGUUCCUCGAUGUGGGAUAAUUGAGGCUUAAAAUUCCAACAGAUUCCAACAGGAUCCUCUUCGGAUUCUUUUAGAGAGGAUCCUGAUGAUUCGUAAAUUGUAUUCAUUUAUCGUACAUCGUGUGGUCAGUUUUUGUCAAAUACUGUUUGUAUUUAAUUUUAAAUAAAAAUAUUUAAAAUAAUUUAUAAUCGUACGAUGUACGGACAAAAUUAACGAAUCCUUAGGAUCCUCACAAAAAGUAUCUAGCGAGGAUCCGGAUUCCAACAGAUUAUUCUUUGACGAAACUGAUUUGACUGUCAACAUCCAAAGUCUCCUUGGUUUGAGUCGUGCUUGCUAGGUGCCGGGUAAACUCUUCAAACAAGCAGCAAUAAUUCCAACAGAAAAACAUAAACAUCAGCGGUAAUAGACUCUAGUGUAUACCUUUUAUUCUGCAGGUAUGUUGUUGCACAUGUACAUCGGUCAGGACAACAAAUUCUGCUCACUAUUUUCACUUCGAGAAGUUUAGUGUGUGGGGUGAAAUGAUCGAAUCAUGAGUUGGGGAUAGAACAUGUAAAAUUCUAGUUGUUUUUAUAUAUAAUGGUUGUGAAUAUCUUUGUAAAUUGUAAUAUUAUAGAUGCUUGUGGUUGUGGGCUGUUUUAAUUUUAUGAAAAAAUAAUUUUUUGUUUAGCCUCAAUCUCAAUUUGUAGGUGACAACUUUGUCAGGCACAAAAGGACCUUUAUUUGUGCUAACACUUUUCGGCACAACAUACCAUAUUGUGCUCUUUGAUCAAAGGCUACGCCUAUAGAGGGCACAAAUAGAAAUAUAGUUAUUGCACUGUUGCUAUUGGUCUAUGGGCAUAAUUGUUGGUGCUCUUUGGCCUCAAAGGAUCGUGUUCUAUCAACGACGUGACAAUAACUAAAUUCGAAGGUCGAUAACUAAAUUCUGCUGUCAUCUGUGAUAAAACAUGGUCUUUCUUGAACUGAAUCAAAUACGUUGAAAUGAGACUUCAGUUAUAUAGGCUAUUUCAUACACUUACAAAUACCUCUUGGAUGUAUCUAAUAAUACAGAACUCUUUCCAACAGUUAUGUCUCCUAAUCAAAAUGUUUUUAAUAUUAAUUACAAACUUAAUCCAAAACUAAAAUCAGUAAAUAUGCUAAUUAAAAUUACACCUAUUGGGGACCUUGUGUUCUUGUGUUCCUUGAUGUGGGAUAAUUGAGGCAUAAAACUCCAACAUAUUCCAACAAGAUCCUUUUCGGAUUCUUUUAGUGAGGAUCGUGAUGAUUUGUGAAUUGUGUCCAUUUAUCGUACAUGCAGUCAGUUUUUGUCAAAUAUUGUUUGUGUUUAAUUUUAAAUAAAAAUAUUUAAAAUAAUUUUUAAUCGUAUGAUAUACGAUAAACGGACAAAAUUGACGAAUCCUUGGAAUCCUCACAAAAAGUAUCCGGCGAGGAUCCAGAUUCCAACAGAUUAUUCUUUGACGAAACUGAUUUGACUGCCAACAUCCAAAGUCUCCUUGGUUUGAGUCGUGCUUGCUAGGUGCCGGGUAAACCCUUCAAACAAGCAGCAAUAAUUCCAACAGAUAAACAUAAACAUCAGCGACAAUUCUUCUGUCUUAAGAAAGAGACGGAUCAAAGUCGCACUUCUAAACAACACCGAUAUUAGUAUUUUUUUAAUUUAGUAGAUGAGAGCAUUCUCAAUUGAGACUUUUAUCUUCUAUGAAGCUACUACAUUAGGAGUCCUAGUAAGAAAUUUUAUCCCCAAUAAGCCGAAAAUGAGGUUAGAUCCAUUACUUGGGCUAGUAACUUCCUUUCCUAGGUUAGCAAAAAAUUAAGCUACAUCUAACUUUAAAAAGCAGUGAAUCCCACGAAAAGGGACGAUACUUGGACACUGGCUAGUCAGUGUCCAAUUUUAUUGACCCCAAAUAAAAAAAAUGACACUUGUCCUUUUUAAUUCUAUCUCAGAUUGUUGCCAUCUUCAUAACCAAACAUCUCCUAUUUCCCCAUAGCUUCUGCAAUGGAGAUUUGGGCAAAUCCUCAACUCCUCCAACCUUUGCCUCCGUCGACCACAUCCACGUCUCCUCCUCAUUCUCUCCUCCGUCGAACCCGCCCCCAAUCCACUAUCUUUUUCUCAUUACAACCAUGGGCAGAAAGGACAGAAAGCGGCUACUCGCUACCAGUAAUUGAGCAGUUGCAUGGGUGCUGUCAUGGCAGAGGAGAGAGUUGGGUAUGAGUAGGCGGGGUUGGGUUCGUUGAAGGAGAGAGAUUGAUGGAGAAAUUCGGGUUAAAUUUGACGUGGACGGGGAUGAGAUCUGCGGCAUGGGACAGAGGAGAGAGGAACUGUUUGGUUAUAGGUGUAAGGUUAAAGUUGGUUGCUUGGUUAUAGGUAUAGAGAGUUUUAAAUGACAGAUGCCUUGAUUUGAUUGGGUUAAAUGGUAAUGUGAGUGUAUUCGGUCCUCACAAGUAUUAUCCCACGAAAAAAAGUAGAUACCUAUGUGCGAAAAAAGUAGAUAUUUAUGUGAGCCAAAAUUUUCCACUCUUCCCCCUCUCAACCGUUGGUUGCAAAUACACUCGUACUCUCUUUUUAUUCUUUUUUUUAAUUAUUUUUCUUUACAUUAUUUUGUUUCAAGGAUCCUCUAUUUUAUUGGCAUGUUUAAUGUUUAGGACAUAAAAUGAUAUAAGAUGUUUUGCAUCUAAAAGGGCUUACUUUUAUUAAUUUCCAAAUAAAAGUGCACUACAUAUUAAAUGACAUUGGAAGUUUGGAGACCUAAACUGAAAACAUAAACAAACAACAUACCUAAAUUGGAAGGGCAUUACAAUUUAGUUAUGAGAUAAAAUCUUAUCUUGUCCGAUUUCAGAUAAACAAACCAACAAAUAAAAUUGAGAUAAGAAAACAUAAUCUAACGGUUCAUAAGUGAUGAACUCUAACUUUGUCAGAAUUUACAUUUUUUUAGGUUGAAAUGUUCAUAAAUUCUUUUUUGAGAUAGCACAUCCAAAAAUUAACUUAAGAAAAAGUUAAUACAAACAAAAUUUGUCACAUAAUCAAAUUACUACAUAAAUAAAUAUAUAUAGCCCUAUAAAGAGCCAGAAAGUAAGUAGCCCCUCAUUGAGAGAUAUUCUUUUCUAGAGCCUCAAAUAUUCCUCCGAGCUCUAAAAUGAGCUAUAUCCACUAUUUUUUCCAACCCAUAUAUAGGCCCUCACUGGGGAUGCUCUUACUACCUGCACAGUUCGACAAAUGUGAGGUUUUAUUACAAAAUGUCAAGAUAUUAGUUGGAAUCCACCUAACACGUGGCAAUACAGGCCUGCUCACUGGCUCUAAUACUAUGUCAACUUAUCAUAGAGAAGAUCCAAAGUCUCACUUUCAACAACACAGAUAUUGUUUACAACUUAAUAGUUACCACAUGUACAGUCAGACCAAUGCGAGGUUUUAUCAAAAAAAAAAAGCUUUAGAAUUAAUUGGGAUUUUUCAGGCCCGACAACUCUAGUAGUUCCAGGUACGUCGUAAUCUGAUAUGCAAAGAAACCUGAAAAAAACAGUUGUUUUGGGUGGCGCAAACAGAGACAACCCCAUCAACGACAGUUCCGGAGUUGUAGAAAUUCUGCUGCUGGGAACAUUUCGAUUUGGUCCACGAAUGUCUGUCCAUGUCCAAACCAGAAGCACUUUUGUAGCUCAGCUUUUAGAUUCUGGAAAUUUUGUAGUACGACUUUAGUGGCCGUUGACAGAGGACUAAUUUCUAAUUUAUUUGGAUUGAAUUCAGAAUUUCAACGGGAUAAAAAUGGGCAUUAUUUCACACAGCACGUUCUCGAUUUUUGGCCUGUGAAUCGCAUGAUGGUGGCCAAGAAUAGGCAGAAAUGCUUAUGUGAAUCUUCCGGAUUACUAAAUGAUGGAUUGCCGUUGUUGGAUUAUGUGGCCAAGUGGCCAUAUACUUUAGAUUAAACAAACCAAAGGUGGACAACACCUUUCCUUGUUUUGGGGAGGAAAAUAGGGAAAAGGUUUUUUGUCUUGGUCCAUGGGAAGUCACGGUUGAGGUUUUGAAUAAUAAGUUUUGGUUGUAAUGAGAAGUAAGAGUGGGAUAGAAGAGAAGAAAAUAGAGUGCAGAAAAUUGAGAGAGCCGAAGAGAAGAGAGGGAGAGAAAGAAGGUACUGCUACAGUACCAUUUUCAGAGAAGGGGUUGUUGUUCCUUUCAUUGGAUAAUUCUCACUCCAUCAAAGUGUUAUUGUUGUAAUAGCUUUGAGCUUUGUAUAGAGAAGAAAUUAAUCACUAUAUUUCUUUCUCUAUUUGUUUCUUUAGAGUGUGAGUUAUUGGGUUAUUUGGGUUGUGAGAUUGCCAACACUUUGUAAACUCCCAUUUGGUUGAUAGUGGAUUCUUGGGUGAGCUCCUACUGCUCCGAGGACGUACUCCAGUUACACUGACUGUUGAGGAACCUCGUUAAAAUCUUGGUGUCUUUAAUAUUUUGUUCUUGCAUUUUAUUUGAUAUAUUUCCUGUGGGUUAGCUUGAGUUGGUUCCACAAGGGUUUGGUGCUAUCCUAGCACAACAGCCGUCACAAAGUCACCAGCUAGUUCAUUUUUAAAAAAUAAAAAGUUACAAAAAAUGGAGAAUUUAGUAAAGGAGAAAGUGGGUUGUGUACCACAUGAUGGUAUUAUUAUGAUUAUAUAUGGUUUUGGAAUAAACUGCUACCUCCUGAACUUUCACUUAGUUUACGAUUUUCCUCUUACCAUUAGUUUUCCAUAGAUUUCAUCUAAACUAGCGUUAAUUCUUAUCAUGUGCACAUCACGUGUAUCUCCUUUGAGAGCAUAAGUGUCACUUUGUUGAUCAAGAGCAUUUAUCCAUUCACCGUUCAAUUUGCUCUUCUCAAUAUCGCUUGUAUUAAUUUCCAAACCAGAACAACGUUACAAGAAGCAAAUGUAGAGAAUGGGGAUCAAUCUAAGAAACCCCAGCAGCACAUCAUAUUUACAAUUACAAUUUUACACAUGGACAAUGAAAUCUUCUUCCUCACAUAGUUUACACCUUCCACAACUGAAAACACAGCAAUUACAAGGUGGAGCAGGAAUCUAAAGCAGUUCUACUUCCCGAUGGGGACCACAGCAAUCCUGAAUGUAGAAUGUUUUCCUUCCCGAUGGCAAAGGCAUAACAAUCCUUCUAGCGGAAGAUAUCAAAUGGAAAGUCCGACUUCCAAUCAUAGCUAUGGCCACUUUCUGGAAUGGCAAAUACCCGGCUUAUUUAACUCGUGGAUAUUCACAUGAAUCUUUACUUUUCUAUAAGCUGCAGGGGUCAGGGGAUUUGAUCGAGACAAUAGGUGGCGGUUGUAGCUCAAAGAACGAUUUUGCACCUUCUCCAAGGCUACCUAUGCAUAUCGUAUCGGACUCGGCUUUUCAGCUCUCCCAAUUCUCAUACUCUUAUCUUCUUCUAUUUAUGCGGUCAUGGUUAAAUCACGUCAACAUUUUAUAUCAUUAUUGCUUUCUUAUUAUCUCUAUAAAAAAAUCAAUAUAAUAUAUUGACGUGGCUUAAUCGUGACCGCACAAAAUAGAAGGGAAUGAGAGUGUAUGAAAACUGGGAGGGCAGAGAAGCCGGGUCCUAUCGUAUCGCCCCGACCAUGCCAGGUGCCAUGUUGGAGACUUGGACAUUGUUCAUCUCCAAUGUUCUGGAUUCCUGCUCAUAGUGUAAGAAUAGCAUCCAUAAGUUUCAAAAAAUUAGAUAAUUAAUCAGAAUUAUAAGAUCUGUCCAUAAUUUAGGCAUAGGUUCUCGAAGGAUAAUCACCUGACAUAAUGUACAGCACGGGCAGAUGAGAUGGUAGAUGCAAUCAUCCAAGGAACUAUCACUACCCUGAAAAUAACAGGCAUUGCCCGCAACAAUGUUAGGGUAGUUUGUGUAUAACCACGAAAACGAUUAGAAGGCAAGGAUUAGAAUAACCAUAGAUUCAUGAAACAAUUCAUUACAAUUGCAAUGAUCGAUCAUAUAGCAGUAACAGCACCCUCUCCACGAGGAGGGAAAAGCAAACCAUCUAACCUAGCACACCCAGUUUCCGAAUUUUUGUAUACCUAGUGUUGCUUUUCUUCCUUGAGUAACCAAUUUAAGUCAUUAGACUUGAACAUUGUUAAUUAGAAGAAUUAGUAAGGGAUAGUAACGAGGCAAAUACUAAUAUAACAAAGAGAAACACCAAUUCAGGUAACAGCAUAUAUUAACGGUUGGUUCUAUCGUUAUUUUCGAGUCUUCUUGGUGUAGGACCUACUUUCUUUGCAAUCUUGUUUAUUUUAAAAUAUUCAUUUCGUACUCUUUUUUAUUAGCUGUAUGUUCUGAAUUCAUUCCUGUAAUUGCAUAUUUCAUUAUAUUCAAAUUUACAUAUUUUAUUUACGUUCGUUCUAUCGUUAUAAUUUUUAUGCAUGUUUAAAAUGACUUCAUCAUCCUCGAAUGUGGUCAGCGUAUAUCCAUUGUAAUAUAUGGGAUAUCAGGGUUGGAUGUGUCACAUUAUCCAAGACAAUUCAACAAGACUUGAGUGGAUCCCAGAAUGCUGACUAGAAAUGUGGUUUUCGUCUUCCAAAUACCGAUUGACGAAAAGUAGCACAUGUUGGGUAAAAUUCAAAGCAGGACCGCUGUCAACACUAUCAUUAAUGUACACGGAAAAACAAGUGCGGUCAAGUCCGAUGGCUUGCGGUCAAAAUCCGAUGGUUUUGAGCUAUAUGAGGGUAGGAUUCUUUGGUAGUCCAAUGGCUUGGGCCUCUGAUCGUCUAAUUCUCUAUUGCCCACUCAGAUGCUGUAAUUGUGCCAAGGGUUUGAUACAUGCAUCUGCCAAGAAAAUGUUACUGAAAGCUUUGCUUGUUUUUUCCCUCAUCUUCCCAUUUUGCACAUCCAUUGACACCAUAGAAAUGGACCAAAAUGUAAAGGAUGGUGAUCUUCUGGUGUCCAAGGAAAACAUCUUCGCAUUAGGGUUCUUCAGCCCCAGAAACUCCAGCUCCAGGUACGUCGGAAUUUGGUAUGCUCAAAAAGAUGAAAAAGAUCAAAAGGCAGUGGUUUGGGUAGCAAACAGAAACGACCCCAUCAAUGAUACCUCCGGUGUCCUAACUAUAGACAGGUAUGGGAGACUGCUUCUUUAUUCUAACAAUAUGCAGAACGUUCCUGUGUGGUCUACAAAUGUGACGGUUCAAACUGCGAGCACUAGUUGCAGGGCUCAGCUUUUAGAUUCUGGAAAUUUAGUUCUUUUCCGGGAUAAUAAAAGCAAAAAUUUUAUGUGGCAGAGUUUUGAUUAUCCUACAGAUACUCUCCUUCCGGGUAUGAAACUAGGCGUGAAUUGGAAAUUGGGGAUAGAAUGGGUCUUAACAUCUUGGAAGUCACAAGAUGACCCUGGAACUGGGGAAUACACCUAUAGGCUCUAUUCCAAUCAGACUGCCACCCCCGAAGUUUUAACUUUUUAUAAAGGUUUGACUCCGCAUUGGCGAGCUGAUUUAGUGGACGUGGGGCGAUCUGAUCCACUGGACGUGGGGCGAUCUGAUCCACUGGACGUGGUUACUUUUGUCAGUAAUCAGGACGAAAUGUAUUACUUUCUUAAAACGAUAGCACUUCAACAAGGGUGGUGUUGAAGGAUUCUGGGUUACUGCAACACCUCAGGUGGAACAAUGCGGAUAGAGAAUGGAAGGAACUAUGGUCUACGCCAAAAUAUCGGUGUGACCAGUAUGGAGAGUGCGGUGCCAACAGCAAAUGUAGCCCUGACAAUAUCAAUUCGUUUGAGUGUGAGUGUCUGCCAGGGUAUGAACCGAAGUCUGUCAAUGAUUGGAAGAUGAGAGAUGGUUCGGACGGGUGUGUGAGUAAACGACUUGCGGUAUCAAAGUGUAGGAACGGAGAAGGGUUCAUGAAAGUGGCACGAGUUAAAGAUCCAGACACAACCAAAGCAGCACGGCUGAAAAAAGGUAUUAGUAUCAAAGAGUGUGAGCAGAUGUGCUUAAGCAAUUGUUCUUGCACUGCAUAUACGGUCAUAGAAUCUGAAGGGCGCAGUGAUUGCUUGACAUGGUAUGGUGAGUUGCUGGACAUUUUAGUGUACACACAGCUAGGGCGAGAUCUACAUGUACGUGUGGACAAAAUCGAAUUAGGUACCACUUCUUGCCAUGGAAAAGUUGCAUUAUAAAUUUUUGGAAUUUGUGGAACUUACUGUACUACUGGUUUUGUUAUUUUUUAAUCCUUUAUCCCACUCUUAUGUGUAGCAGAAAAUUCAAGAAAUUCGAAAGGUUUUCUUAGAAGCAGGGGUAUGCUGGCUAUUCUGAUGUUGUCUGUUGUUCUAGCAUUGGUACUGAUGGUUGCGUUGACCUGUUGGAGGAUUAGGAAACAGAGGAAGACAAAAGGUAAGAAGUAGUCAGCGAUUUUGAAUUCUCGAACGGUUUCAUCAAAUAAAAGCACUCCACUUGUAAUGCUUGUGCAGUUUGUAAAUCAUAUCAAAGCACUGCCAUUAGAUAGAAUCCAUACGCACAAGCUCGAUGUAAAACUUAUAUUUCUAUAUCGUUUGUCAAUGAAAAUAGAACAGUGAGAAGAAAAUGCAGACAAUGAUUUCUUUUAUUGUUAGCAGUUGAGAUCGAAGAAACUAGGAGACAUCCCGAAUUGCAAUUUUUCCAUCUGAGAACGAUAAUUGCAGCUACGAACAACUUCUCUCCCGUCCAAAAACUUGGCCAAGGUGGUUUUGGCACUGUUUAUAAGGUUAGUCCCACUUUCGAAGAGUUACAAAUUUCAUUAUUAAGGAAUAAUCACAACAUAAUAGCUUCACAAAAUAAGUGAUGAUUAUGUGGAAGCUUAAUGAUAAAACUGAAUGAAAACUUCAGGGUGUGUUACGAAAUAAUCAGAAUAUUGCUGUAAAAAGAUUAUCCAGAGCUACAGGACAAGGAGUUGAAGAAUUCAAAAAUGAAGUUGCAUUGAUAGCGAGACUUCAACACAGGAAUCUUGUGAAACUUUUAGGCUGUUGCAUAAAGGGAGAAGAAAGGAUGUUAGUCCUGGAAUACUUGCCGAACAAAAGCUUGGACUACUUUCUUUUCGGUAUGUCUAUAGAGGAAAGAUUCAUUUGUUCACGCCAUUUCUCAAACUAUGAAGCAUAUCUUAGUCGAAUAUGUUACAUUUAUCUGCACAAUUAAAGCCAAAUAUCUUGAUGCAGACAAAAAAGUCCUUGCUGGAUUGGCAAAAGCGAUUCGAAAUCAUCAACGGGGUUGCUCGUGGGGUUUUGUAUCUUCACCAGGAUUCAAGACUUAGGAUUAUUCAUAGGGAUCUAAAAACCAGCAAUGUCCUUCUAGACGCUGAGAUGAACCCAAAAAUCUCAGAUUUCGGCAUGGCAAGAAUCUUCCAUGGGGACCAACUCCAGGAUACGACCAACAGAGUUGUCGGAACAUAGUAAGAAUCGUUAUAAACUCACCCUCCAUUAGCUCUUUCAUCUCUUACUAUUCUUUGGCUGUAACGUUUUAUUUUCUUUAUAUGCUUAAUACAGUGGCUAUAUGUCACCGGAGUAUGUAGUGUUUGGGAGAUAUUCAACCAAAUCAGAUGUUUUUAGUUUUGGGGUCAUAUUAUUGGAGAUUGCAAGCGGCAAGAAAAACAGCAGUUGUUAUCAAGAGGAUCAUUUCGUAAACUUAAUAGGACAUGUGAGUAACACAAAUUGUGCAAACAACCAACCCUUUUUAUUUACUCAUCCCAUACAUGUUUAAAUGAACUGUCAACUACAGGUUUGGCAGUUGUGGAGUGAAGACAGAGCCUUAGAAAUUGUGGAUUCGUCAUUGGAGUCAUACGCGCUCGACGAAGCCAUGAGAUGCAUUCAGGUCGGGCUCUUGUGUGUCGAAGAAGAGUCGAAGAAUAGACCAUCCAUGUCAGCUGUUGUUUUUAUGUUGAGCGGCGAAGCAUCUGCUCCAUCUCCUCAGCAGCCUGCAUUUGCCUUGAGAAAAAAUUCAUGCGGCGAUGCUGUUGUUCCUUCAGUUUCUGAAGGAUCGUGUUCUAUCAACGACGUGACAAUAACUAAAUUCGAAGGUCGAUAACUAAAUUCUGAUGUCAUCUGUGAUGAAACAUGGUCUUUCGGGAACUGAAUCAUAUACAUUGAAAUGAGACUUUAGUUAUAUAGGCUAUUUCAUACACUUUCAAAUACCUCUUGGAUGUAUCUAAUAAUACAGAACUCUUUCCAACAGUUAUGUCGCCUAAUCAAAACGUAAUAUUAAUUAAAAACUUAGGGGGGUGUAUUCAAUUAGGAUUUUGAGGGAUUUUAAUUCUUUUAAUGAAUCUAAGGGUUCAAUCAUGAAUUUAAGUGAUUCUCUGAAAUUCAAUGUGUAUUCAAUCAAGAUUUUAAGAUAGUUUAUGAAAAUCCUUAGAAAUCCGGGUGUAUUCAAUUAGAAUUUUAAAGAAGUUUAUAACAUUCCAGGUGUAUUCAAUUAGAAUUUGAUUUUAAAGAAUUUGAGAAAGUUGAGGAAUUAGAGGGAAUUGGAGAGAUUUCGUAGUGUAUUUUGAGCAUCCACAAAUCUCACAUCCCCCAAGAGAUUUCGAGGGAAUUGAAUCAAAAUUUUACAUGGAAUCUCUACAAAUCAAUUAAACUCCAUAAAAAUCCAUUAAAAUCUCUCAAAUUCUCAAUUGAAUACACCUUCCUUAAUCCAAAACCUAAAAUCAGUUAAUAUACUAAUUAAAAUUACACCUAUUGGAGACCUUGUGUUCCCCGAUGUGGGAUAAUUGAGGCAUAAAAUUCGAACAGAUUCCAACAGGAUCCUCUUCAGAUUCUUUUAGUGAGGAUUCUGAUGAUUCGUGAAUCGUGUCCAUUUAUCGUACAUCGUACGGUCAAUUUUUGUCAAAUACUGUUUGUGUUUAAUUUUAAAUAAAAAUAUUUAAAAUAAUUUAUAAUUGUACGAUGUACGAUGAACGGAUAAAAUUGACAAUCCUUGGGAUCCUCACAAAAAGUAUCCGGCUAGGAUCCGGAUUCCAACAGAUUAUUCUUUGACGAAACUGAUUUGACUGUCAACAUCCAAAGUCUACUUGGUUUGAGUCGUGCUUGCUAGGUGCCGGGUAAACUCUUCAAACAAGCAGCAAUAAUUCCAACAGAAAAACAUAAACAUCAGCGGUAAUAGUCUCUAGUGUAUACCUUUUAUUCUGCAGGUAUGUUGUUGCACAUGUACAUCGGUCAGGACAACAAAUUUUGCUCACUAUUUUCACUUCGAGAAGUUUAGUGUGUGGGGUGAAAUGAUCGAAUCAUGAGUUGGGGAUAGAACAUGUAAAAUUCUAGUUGUUUUUAUAUACAAUGGUUGUGAAUAUCUUUGUAAAUUGUAAUGUUAUAGAUGCUUGUGGUUGUGGGCUGUUUUAAUUUUAUGAAAAAAUAAUUUUUUGUUUAGCCUCAAUCUUAAUUUGUAGGUGACAACUUUGUCAGAACUGGGCACUAAAGGACAUUUACUUGUGCUUACACUUUUUGGCACAACAUACCUUAUUGUGCUCUUUGAUCAAAGGCUACGCCUAUAGAGGGCACAAAUAGAAAUAUAGUUGAUGCACUGUUGCUAUUGGUCUAUGGACACAAUUGUUGGUGCUCUUUGGCCUCAAAGGACACAUAUAAUUUAUUGUGUGCAGUGCCCAUAUUUUUUGUAGUGUGCAGGUUUGGUAGCUCUGGAGAGAAGACAGAGCAUUAAAAGUUGUGGAUUCAUCGGUAGAGAGUAGAGACCUUUCAGUCGAAUGAGUAAUGCAACGCAUUCAAGUUGGCUUCUUAUGCGUGGAAGAAGAUUUGAAGGACCGACCAACCAUGUCAGCCUUUUUUGUUGAGUGUUGUGAAACAUCUCCUCCAUCUCCUAAACAGCCUGCAUUUGUCUUCAGAAAAAGUUCAUGCGAUGAUGAUGCGGAUCCAUUAAUUCCGAAAGGGUCAGGUUCUAUUAACGACUUAACAAUAAUUGCAUUUGAAGCUCGUUAGUUGUUAAUGAUGCAGGCUAUUUGAAGCUUGUUCCGAAAGGGUCAGAUAAUGCACGUGUUGUUACACCCACCCCAAGUUAUAAAAAUAUAAUUAUGUAAUUAUCCCCUAAAUCUUAUGAAUCUAUCAAUUUAGUCCUAUUUUGACUACCCAAUCAGGAUUAUUCCCAAGCUGCCACGUGGCAGAAACCCAAGACUUCUCUCUUUUCUCUCUCUGUCCCCUGCCACUCCCGUGAACCCCCAUUUUCUUCCUCUUUCUGUCUCUCCCUUCUCUCCCUUUCGGAUCCCUCAUUUCUCUCUCUCUCUUUUCCGAGACACACAUACACACACACACACACACACCCAGUUACCUCAUCUACGAGGAAGACGCCGCCAUCAUCAAUCCCUCGUCCUUCUUUCUCUCUCUUUCCCGUGCUACGAGGAAGAACCCAGAAACGAACUCUGGCGAGAUUUCUAUUCCUCCGGUUAGGUAAGCCUCGAUUUCCCUCUAUUUCGUCCUAAAUUCAUGCGAGAAUGUGUUUUAAUGGGUUGUACCUUGUUAAUUUCGAAGUUUUAGAACAAAACCAGGUCGGGUGAAGGCACACCUAGCUCCGGCGAGGCCGUGGGUGUCGAGGGAAUCUCCGGUCAUCUCCGGCCGUUCUACGGCAAAAGGAAGGUAUAAAGUUGUUCCUCUAGUCUUGUACUUCGAUUUGAUACCUAGAUCGGACCCUAAAAGCUAGGUUUGAGGCCGGCCGGAGCUGUAGAAGCUCUAGCGUUCUUCUCCGUCGACGCCAGCCUUUCAGGCCGUUUCUUAGUCACUCGGGCCUUAGGCCCGUGGUGAGUCUAGCCCAAACCCAUAACUCAGUUUCUUUUUAUUUUAUUUAAUUGUUUUAAUAACCCAAGAGGCCUUCGGGCCGUUAUGUUUAGGGCCUGUAGCCCAUUAGACCAACCCAAAACCUUUUUAGGUUUUUUUUAUUUUUGUUUUACAAAUUAAGGCCCUUGGGCCAUUUUUAUUCAGGGCCUUAGGCCCGAGUGUUUAGAAACCUUUAUAGUUAAGGCCCUUGGGCCAUUUAGAGCUUGGGCUUUCAGCCCUUUCCCAAACCCAUUAACCUCAAUCUAAACCCAAAAUCCUUAGGGCCCAAUCGGCCCAACCCAAUCCAAGCCCAGUCUGACCUUUGACCCAGUUGACCGUUGACUAGGUCAACGGUCAGCAAUGUCCUUCUAGACGCUGAGAUGAACCCGAAAAUCUCAGAUUUCGGCAUGGCAAGAAUCUUCCAUGGGGACCAACUCCAGGAUAUGACCAACAGAGUUGUCGGAACAUAGUAAGAAUCGUUAUAAACUCACCUUCCAUUAGCUCUUUCAUCUCUUACUAUUCUUUGGCUGUAACGUUUUAUUUUCUUUAUAUGCAUAAUACAGUGGCUAUAUGUCACCGGAGUAUGCAGUGUUUGGGAGAUUUUCGACCAAAUCGGAUGUUUUUAGUUUUAGGGUCAUAUUAUUGGAGAUUGUAAGCGGCAAGAAAAACAACAGUUUCUAUCAAGCGGAUCAUUUCCUAAACUUAAUAGGACAUGUGAGCAACACAAAUUGUGCAAACAACCAACCCUUUUUAUUUACUCAUCCCAUACAUGUUUAAAAUGAACUGUCAACUACAGGUUUGGCAGUUGUGGAGUGAAGACAGAGCCUUAGAAAUUGUGGAUUUGUCAUUGGAGUCAUACGCGCCCGACGAAGCCAUGAGAUGCAUCCAGGUUGGGCUCUUGUGUGUUGAAGAAGAGUCGAAGAACAGACAAUCCAUGUCAGCUGUUGUUUUUAUGUUGAGCGGCGAAGAUCUGCUCCAUCUCCUCAGCAACCCGCAUUUGCCUUGAGAAGAAAUUCAUG